ensembl:lncRNA
CGGUUCGGCGGGGACCCGCAGAGGCGCGGACACGGUGCCGAGGAGCCGCCUCCACGCGUUACGAGGCCGCGUUAGGGCACGGCAGCGGCUGCCGAGCGUUGCUCUCCGCUGGCGGACGGGGCUUCAGGUUGUUCUGCCCGUAUUCUGCUUCGCAUUUAAUAUUCGAGAAAUACAAAGUCAUCAGAUGAGCUCUCUACAAAGCUUGAGAAAUUCUGUGAAAAAUCC